CACUUCCCGAGUGAGGCAAUGCCUCGCCCUGCUUCAGCUCGCACAUGGUGCGCGCACCCACUGACCUGCGCCCACUGUCUGGCACUCCGUAGUGAGAUGAACCCGGUACCUCAGAUGGAAAUGCAGAAAUCACCCAUCUUCUGCGUCACUCAAGCUGGGAGCUGUAGACCGGAGCUGUUCCUAUUCGGCCAUCUUGGCUCCUCCGCUCUAUUUGCAGUUCUUAAAGAUUCAUAGCAAGUGAAACAUUCCAGAUGUUAAAAGCGUGGACAGUGAGGUCCAUGGACCGGCAGGAUCAGCAGCCCCAGAAGCUCCUUGGACCUGCAAGACCCUCCGGCCCCACCACAGCCCUACUGAACCAGGAUCAGACUUUAAAAAAGAAUCCAAUGCCAGUUUGAGAAGCCCAACUCAAAAAUCUAGACCAACAACCUGGUCUACCUUCCUGGCCAAGUCUCGCCACAUGGCAUCAUUUCCUCCUCACCUGCAGAAUCGCUGUGACUUAUGGCUCCUCUGAUUGCACCUGCUUUCACCAGCAGCCCUGGAAGAGAGCUCUUCUGUGUGGAUAAGAGUUGAGAGAUCUUGGUUUCAUUACUUGUUUAAAUUGGACCCUCUCAAAUGAAUGUAAGCACAUAAUGGGGGGACUACACUAUGAGAUUAAAAGGAAUCCAGCUGUUACCAGAAAUGGGUGCCUGCCAGGUUUAUCCACCAAAUUCUUUCCACUUCAUGUCAUUAAAAUAAAAUUUGAGUUUUAAAAUGAAAAUUUCUCAGAUUGAUAUGAAUUUGUCUCAUUGAUUUUAUUAAUAUAGCCAGUUAACAUAACAAUUCUAUCAUACAAGGAAAUGAGAAUAAUACAAAAGCAAAAAUAAGGGUAGGG
rnacentral:lncRNA from 10 species